GUUCCUGUUUUCUUUAUUUAUACAGAAAAGGACUUGAGCUUGGACCAGAAUCCCAAUUCCAUCCUCAAUGAGGAGUCCACCACAAAGCUAGAGAGGUAUCUCCUGGGUCCUGGAAAUGGAGUGACCUGAGAAUCACAAUGUUCCUAGAGAUUCCUGCUACAGAGAUACUUCUUUGGACAAGAAAGAGGACACCAGUACGGAAUCGUGUCAGGAUCAUUCAGUCCAUGCUGCAAAAGAUACCAUGAGAGUUCACUUCUGCUUAAGCCAGUAUCCUCACUCUAAGAGGUUGGUUCUCCUCCAAGAAACAAUAUGUGGACCUCCUAAUAUGUCAGGUGAACUUGUUUUAUAAAUUGGGUCUUUAGAUUAGUAGCUUGGACCCUUAUCCAAUAAGACUGGUGUCCUCAUAAAGAAAGAGACAGGAAGAUGAAGUGAAAACACAGAGACAGCCAUCUACAUCAUGAGCCUCUGAUGUCACCAGAGGCUAGAAGAGAAACAUGGGAAAGAUUCUCCCUUCUGAUACUCAGCAGAAACCAUCUUGCCAACACAUCGAUUUUGGACUUCCAGCUGCCAGAACUGGGAAACAAUCACUUUCUGUUGUUCGUGCCACCCAAUUUGUGGUACUUUGUUAUGGCAAACCUAGCAAAUGAAAGCAGUA